rnacentral:ncRNA from 2 species
CUUUAUCAAACCCGGGACGGUUCCUCGCAAGAGGAUUGAACGGGAAUGCGGUAUGCCGAGCGAGGCCGAAGCCGCAGCUGCCCCCGCAACUGUAAUCGGCGAGCGUUCGAUCGAUCGUGCCACUGGGAAACCGGGAAGGCGAUAGAAUGCAGGUGACCCGAGAGCCAGGAGACCGGCCGUCAGAGUAAGACACUC